AUUGAACGCUGGCGGCAUGCCUUACACAUGCAAGUCGAACGGCAGCGCGGGUGCUGGCACCUGGUGGCGAGUGGCGAACGGGUGAGUAAUACAUCGGAACAUGUCCUGUAGUGGGGGAUAGCCCGGCGAAAGCCGGAUUAAUACCGCAUACGAUCCACGGAUGAAAGCGGGGGACCUUCGGGCCUCGCGCUAUAGGGUUGGCCGAUGGCUGAUUAGCUAGUUGGUGGGGUAAAGGCCUACCAAGGCGACGAUCAGUAGCUGGUCUGAGAGGACGACCAGCCACACUGGGACUGAGACACGGCCCAGACUCCUACGGGAGGCAGCAGUGGGGAAUUUUGGACAAUGGGCGAAAGCCUGAUCCAGCAAUGCCGCGUGUGUGAAGAAGGCCUUCGGGUUGUAAAGCACUUUUGUCCGGAAAGAAAUCCUUGACUCUAAUACAGUCGGGGGAUGACGGUACCGGAAGAAUAAGCACCGGCUAACUACGUG
rnacentral:rRNA from 1 species